rnacentral:misc_RNA from 1 species
UUGGUUCUGCCGUCGCGCUCGCCUGCCAUCUCCCUCCGCGCUCCAUCCGCCACCAUCCGCGCUCGCCUCCCUUCGCGCUUCCUGCAGCCGCGUGCUCCUUCCUUCGACGACGCGGAUCCCCCGCGACUUCCAUCUCCCUCCGCCCUCUCGCGCUCCAUCCGCCACCAUCCGCGCUGCAUCCGUAAACCGCCUCCCUCCGCGCUUCCUGCAGCCGCGCGCUCCUUCGACGGCGCGGAUCCCGCGCCCUCGAAUCACGCCAGCAGAUCCCACAAUCAAGCAGCGGCGACAGGAAUAGGGGCGGGCUACGCGGGCGCUACUGCGGCGAGGGUGAGGGCGAGCGCUCCGGUGCCGCGGCGCCGUUCAUCGUAA